UCCAACAGUUAUUGUAUACAUCACUGACCAUUUUUAUUUUUCUCUCCAUUCAUUUGUUGUAUAUACAUGUUGUUGGAGUUUAAUCUUACAAUGUAGUCUUAAGGUAACAGAAUAUUUGGUGGACCUAUGAUGGAUUUUGAGGAGUGACUAAUAUGGUCAGUGAUGUAUACAAUAACUGUUGGAACUGUGCAUCUCCUUAUUCGGUGUAGAGGGUGCAAACUUCUUUACAUACAAGGAAGAAAGUUCUGUUUUGUUUGAUAGGAAUAAGAGUUGUCACACUGUUUCAUGAAAGUUCUAAUAAGUGUCGAAGGGUGCAGGUGGAAACUCAGUAGUCAAAUGGUGGAUGGCUGUCCUUUCCUUUCUCUUUGUAGGUGCAUGAAUUUACUUUCUCAGUGGCAGUGUGUAUUUUAGACGUUUUAAACAUUCCAUAACGAAAUAUGAGGAAUAUGUUCACCUUGUUGACUCAAAAAGUAUUUAGAUCAUAGACAAGCAGAUAUAGGAUUCAGAGAUACAAAUUUUUCAUCUUCUGUCAAAGGAGUGUGGAGGCUGGAAAGAAUUACAUCCAAAAGAGAAGGGAGGACGAGUCAGAAGAGGGCAGAGAAGGGAGGUCAAUUCAGAAGAAGCAGAGGCACCAACCCUGAUGUUCUUUUUAGAAGUGGCAUUUUGAGUGUCAUGAUUUGGAGAGUCGCUGUGGCUGUUCCAAGCAAGGAGAGAGGGGAGAAGGAAACAGCUACAGGAGGAGGAGCAGCAGGGAGGAGGGGCAUUGGCCAUUCCAUACUGCUCUGGAAGGCUCUUCUUAUUUAUUUAUUUAUUUAUUUAUUUAUUUAUUUAUUCAUGUUUUUUUGAGACAGGGUCUCACUCCGGUUGCCCAGGCUGGAGUGUACUGGUGCGAUCUCAGCUCACUGCAGCCUUGACCUUCCAGGCUCAGGUGAUUCUCCCACCUCAGCCUCCCAAGUGGCUGUAACCACACAUGCGUGCCACCAUGCUUGGCUAAUUUGUUGUAUUUUCAGUAAAGAUGGGGUUUCACCUUUUGCCACACUUAAAGUAUCAUUGGGUCUGUUGAGUCAGAAGGACAAGUCAUAGAGCAUCUUGAGACCACCUUGUUGCCCAGGCUGGUCUCAAGCCCCUGGAUUCAAGCUGUCCACUUGCCUUGGCCUCCCAAAGUGCUGAAACUACAGGAGUGAGCCACCACAUCCAGCUUCCUUAUUUCUUCUCCAAAGCUCAACUCACACAUUGCUCCCCAGAAAGGUUGCACUGAUGACAAUGGUUUGUCUCCCCUUUCUCUUGAUCCUGUCUGUGCUCACUCCUCUGCCCCAUCUUUGCCACACUCUGUUUCCUUUCAGAGUCGGUGGCUUCCUUCUGUCUCAUCCAGUGAACUGAGAGCUCCUUAAGGAACAGAGUCUUACUCUUGUGUUUCACCUUCAAUGUCUAUAGUUAUGCCACAUAGAAAGCCACACACAGAAGACAGAUAGAUUUGCAAGUUCUGGGAUAACAAACUGUUACGAGGUAAAAAGUCUUGACUCUGAGUUGUCCAGGCUCAUGGGGCAUUGAACAAAGAAUGAACAAAACACUCAGCCAAAGCAACAAAAGAGCAAAGCAAUGAAAGAAGCAACAAAAGCACAGAUUUGUUGUGCACAAACAAAGCAAAAAAAGAAUGAAGCAAUGAAAGCACAGAUUUAUUGAAGCAAAGUACACUCCACAGAGUGGAAGCCAACUUAUGUAAAGGGCUCAAGAGCGCUGAUUACAAUGUUCUUUAGGGUUUUAAGCUAUUAAUAAUUUAGCAACACCCCUAGGUGCCCUUUAGAGGCCUCCAAUUGGUUACACCCUAUGAAGGAC
rnacentral:lncRNA from 10 species